CGUCAGAGAAAGUCGGGUAAUAAACACCCGUCAUCUUAUCUGCAAACACUCCACCAAGUGCCCCAAUGAACAUCUCCAUCCUGGUCCUCUCAUCAGGAACCAAAUACGACACAUGAUAGCUCAGGGAAGUGAAUCUCUCCUGGAACUCUGUAACACCCUCAUCAUCCCUCUUCUUCAUAUUCAGGAAAUCCGACUGAAUUCUGCUGCGGUGGGCAGGACUGAAAUAUUGCCCCAAGAAGAGAGUCUUAAACUGCUCCCACAACAUAUUCAGCGCAUCCUCAACAUUCCUGCUGGCAAGCGACCACUAGUGAUGUGCUGAAUCAUCCAGAAAAGUCACUGCCAACUUCACCUUCCUCUCUUCUGGCAAAUCUGUGCUCGCAAAAACCUUUUCCAUUUGGUCCACCCAAGUAUAAGCAUCAAGGGGUCCCUUGGCACCCUUGAACUCUCUUGCUCCCGCCUCAUAAACUUCUCUCCUUUUCACCGUAUGAGGUUGUGGAGCUCGAUCCAUGACAUCCCUUAGCAUAUUCCCAAUAUCAUCCACCAGUCCCCUGACCUCAUUGCCCUCAUCGGCAUUGGUCGAAGUAGCCACACGGGGUUGCCGUGGGCGCCUAGGAGGCAUAGUACCUGAGGAAGAAGAAAUUUAGUAGUCCAUAAACAAGACUAACACAACAAUCACAUAUACCCAAAUAACACAUAGCAUCAAAAGCAUAAAAUGCCAAUGAAUCCGCCGCGGUCGGAUUAUCACUCUAUAGACACUAUGUGCAACUUAGGCAAAUAUGAUAAUGACAAGGAAGCAGGAAAAAGAAACCUAUAGCUCUGAUACCAACUGACACGACCCACCCCAAAUUUCACCCUGAAACCCGGAGUAAGUCGUGCGGGGACCACCUCCAAGGAAAAAUUUUACUGAAAAGAUUAAGCAAAUCUCCCUUGCAGAUGGACAACCCUAACUCGAAAAUUUCAUAUUACACUCUUAAUUCAACACUUCCGAACAUCACAUAAUCAUCCUUCAGAAAUUCUACACAUAAAAUACAAUAAUCCCAAAGUAUUCAGAGCUACUAAACACAAGCGGAAGCAAGAAAACACGAGUAGGUUGAACAGGUAACCUACUGAUGAAAACUGGCAGAAAAGACGGGUGACUAUGCCUACGUCUCCUACUAGAUCCAA
rnacentral:lncRNA from 1 species